AAGCAACCAUGCCCAGUGAGAACCUGC
rnacentral:sRNA from 1 species